rnacentral:tRNA from 1 species
GCGGACGUGGCGGAAUUGGUAUACGCAGCAGACUUAAAAUCUGCCGCCUUUUUAGGCUUACGGGUUCGAUUCCCGUCGUCCGCACCA